rnacentral:rRNA from 1 species
GUUUAUUAAGUUGGGGGUGAAAUCUCCGGGCUCAACCCGGAGCUCGUUCUCAAAACUGGUAGACUUGAGUAAGGUAGAGGCUGACGGAAUUCUGCAAGUAGGGGUAAAAUCCGUUGAUCUGCAGAGGAACACCAAAAGCGAAGGCAGUCAGCUGGGCCUUUACUGACGCUGAGGGACGAAAGCGUGGGUAGCGAACGGGAUUAGAUACCCCGGUAGUCCACGCCGUAAAUGAUGGAUACUGGACAUUGGUACUCGAUCGUAUCAGUGUCUCAAGCUAACGCAUUAAGUAUCCCGCCUGGGGAGUACGGUCGCAAGAUUAAAACUCAAAGGAAUAGACGGGGACCCACACAAGCGGUGGAGCAUGUGGUUUAAUUCGACAAUAAGCGAGGAACCUUACCAGGGCUUGACAUCCCGAGAAUUCUUUAGAAAUAGAGAAGUGCCUUUAUGGAACUCGGUGACAGGUGCUGCAUGGUUGUCGUCAGCUCGUGCCUUGAGGUGUUCGGUUAAGUCCGUAAACGAGCGCAACCCUAGUCCUAUGUUGUAUAUUUCAUAGGAGACUGCCUUGUCCAACGAGGAGGAAGGUUAGGAUGACGUCAAAUCAGCAUGGCCCUUAUGUCCUGGGCGACACACGUGCUACAAUGGUCGGUACAAUGGGUAGCCAACCCGCGAGGGGGAGCCAAUCCCAUCAAAGCCGGUCCAAGUUCGGAUUGGAGGCUGCAACUCGCCUCCAUGAAGUUG